UACGUAGGGUGCGAGCGUUAAUCGGAAUUACUGGGCGUAAAGCGUGCGCAGGCGGUCUGUUAAGACAGAUGUGAAAUCCCCGGGCUUAACCUGGGAACUGCAUUUGUGACUGGCAGGCUAGAGUAUGGCAGAGGGGGGUAGAAUUCCACGUGUAGCAGUGAAAUGCGUAGAGAUGUGGAGGAAUACCGAUGGCGAAGGCAGCCCCCUGGGCCCAAUACUGACGCUCAUGCACGAAAGCGUGGGGAGCAAACGAGGAUAGAAACCGGGGUAGUCCAAGAACCGAAUGUACCCGUCUCGCUACCGAUA
rnacentral:rRNA from 1 species